ACUUAAAUUUCAAGCUUCUACACCUAAAAAUAAUUUUAAUCCAACAUCGAGGUCGCAAACUUUUUUAUAAAUAUGAACUUUUAAAAAAAAUUACGCUGUUAUCCCUAAGGUAAUUUAAAUUUUUAAUCAAUAAAAUUGGAUCAAUUAUUCACUAAUUAAUGUUUUWAAAUAAUAAAAGAUUUUUAAAUUUUAUUGUCACCCCAACAAAAUAUUAUUAAUUAUAAAAAUUUAAUUUUUCUUAAAAACUUAUAUAAUUAAUUAAUAUAAAACUCUAUAGGGUCUUCUCGUCUUUUAAUUAUAUUUAAGCAUUUUUACUUAAAAUUUAAAAUUUUAUUAUAAUUUUUAUGAUACAGUUUAUAUUUCGUUCAACCUUUCAUACAAGUUUUCAAUUAAAAAACUAAUGAU
rnacentral:rRNA from 1 species